GGCCGUUUUUGCAGCCUUCAGGUGGUCCAUCCCGACGGCCUUUGCACGAGUGUUGAGUCUUUAGACUCUUGCCAAUGCUGGCUUUCUAAAACGAAUGCACAAGCCAUCAGUGAGUGUCGCGUAGGUGGCUGGUGGCCUAGUGCUGCUCAAAUCUCUGGUUUCAACCCCGAAAAAUCCGCUCGUCAGGAGAAAUCAUAGCAUGAGUAGUAACCAAGCAGCCGCCAGGCAGGCUUGUGAUGAACUCGGUUUGACUCCAUGGAGAUUAACAAAGUCCAGUCCAUCAAGGUUUACCUGGUUAGCGGUACAGUACAGAAAGCCAAAAGCUGUCGCGUCCAAUCAGAGAACGAACCUACAAAGGCAGUACACUGAAUGGGGCCCAGUCCACAACCUGCCAUCCGGCCUAUGCGGAAACACUGCCAUUACCCUUGGGCCUUGGCGUGGUUCCAGAAUGGAAUCGGGUUCAAUGUCCGUGAUUGCAACCGAUCAGCGGGCGUCGGCACUCGGCUGGCAGCCGUCGGCAUGAGAGGACGAGCCUGCUUCAACCAUCUUGAGCUCCAGUAAAAAAAACAUCUUCGAACUCAUCGUUAUCACGACGUGAGUCCAUGGGGACACAAACAAUCGGCGCGCAAAAUGGCUUGUGCCGGCCUGGUGGGAGUUGGCUGCGCCGAGAAUGCUUCGUUUUAGGAUUCUGGACACCUUGAAAGUCAAAACUAUCAGGUGGUCCUAUGGAUAUUCACCAAGACGAUGCUACUGACAUACUGCUCCAAUCCGCUGCUCAAAUCAAAAUCUGGUUGCAUCCAUCGGAUGCAAUCAUAAUUCAUAGGCUGGAA